rnacentral:rRNA from 1 species
UACGUAGGGUGCAGGCGUUAAUCGGAAUUACUGGGCGUAAAGCGUGCGCAGGCGGUUUGCUAAGACAGGUGUGAAAUCCCCAGGCUUAACCUGGGAACUGCGCUUGUAACUGGCAAGCUGGAGUGUGGCAGAGGGGGGUGGAAUUCCACGUGUAGCAGUGAAAUGCGUAGAGAUGUGGAGGAACACCGAUGGCGAAGGCAGCCCCCUGGGCUAACACUGACGCUCAUGCACGAAAGCGUGGGGAGCAAACAGG